GGGACACGUGGUAUCCUGUCUGAAUAUGGGGGGACCAUCCUCCAAGGCUAAAUACUCCUGACUGACCGAUAGUGAACCAGUACCGUGAGGGAAAGGCGAAAAGAACCCCGGCGAGGGGAGUGAAAAAGAACCUGAAACCGUGUACGUACAAGCAGUGGGAGCCUCUUAAUGGGGUGACUGCGUACCUUUUGUAUAAUGGGUCAGCGACUUAUAUUCUGUAGCAAGGUUAACCGAAUAGGGGAGCCGAAGGGAAACCGAGUCUUAACUGGGCGUUAAGUUGCAGGGUAUAGACCCGAAACCCGGUGAUCUAGCCAUGGGCAGGUUGAAGGUUGGGUAACACUAACUGGAGGACCGAACCGACUAAUGUUGAAAAAUUAGCGGAUGACUUGUGGCUGGGGGUGAAAGGCCAAUCAAACCGGGAGAUAGCUGGUUCUCCCCGAAAGCUAUUUAGGUAGCGCCUCGUGAAUUCAUCUCCGGGGGUAGAGCACUGUUUCGGCAAGGGGGUCAUCCCGACUUACCAACCCGAUGCAAACUGCGAAUACCGGAGAAUGUUAUCACGGGAGACACACGGCGGGUGCUAACGUCCGUCGUGAAGAGGGAAACAACCCAGACCGCCAGCUAAGGUCCCAAAGUCAUGGUUAAGUGGGAAACGAUGUGGGAAGGCCCAGACAGCCAGGAUGUUGGCUUAGAAGCAGCCAUCAUUUAAAGAAAGCGUAAUAGCUCACUGGUCGAGUCGGCCUGCGCGGAAGAUGUAACGGGGCUAAACCAUGCACCGAAGCUGCGGCAGCGACACUAUGUGUUGUUGGGUAGGGGAGCGUUCUGUAAGCCUGUGAAGGUGACCUGUGAGGGUUGCUGGAGGUAUCAGAAGUGCGAAUGCUGACAUAAGUAACGAUAAAGCGGGUGAAAAGCCCGCUCGCCGGAAGACCAAGGGUUCCUGUCCAACGUUAAUCGGGGCAGGGUGAGUCGACCCCUAAGGCGAGGCCGAAAGGCGUAGUCGAUGGGAAACAGGUUAAUAUUCCUGUACUUGGUGUUACUGCGAAGGGGGGACGGAGAAGGCUAUGUUGGCCGGGCGACGGUUGUCCCGGUUUAAGCGUGUAGGCUGGUUUUCCAGGCAAAUCCGGAAAAUCAAGGCUGAGGCGUGAUGACGAGGCACUACGGUGCUGAAGCGACAAAUGCCCUGCUUCCAGGAAAAGCCUCUAAGCAUCAGGUAACAUCAAAUCGUACCCCAAACCGACACAGGUGGUCAGGUAGAGAAUACCAAGGCGCUUGAGAGAACUCGGGUGAAGGAACUAGGCAAAAUGGUGCCGUAACUUCGGGAGAAGGCACGCUGAUAUGUAGGUGAAGCGACUUGCUCGUGGAGCUGAAAUCAGUCGAAGAUACCAGCUGGCUGCAACUGUUUAUUAAAAACACAGCACUGUGCAAACACGAAAGUGGACGUAUACGGUGUGACGCCUGCCCGGUGCCGGAAGGUUAAUUGAUGGGGUUAGCGGUAACGCGAAGCUCUUGAUCGAAGCCCCGGUAAACGGCGGCCGUAACUAUAACGGUCCUAAGGUAGCGAAAUUCCUUGUCGGGUAAGUUCCGACCUGCACGAAUGGCGUAAUGAUGGCCAGGCUGUCUCCACCCGAGACUCAGUGAAAUUGAACUCGCUGUGAAGAUGCAGUGUACCCGCGGCAAGACGGAAAGACCCCGUGAACCUUUACUAUAGCUUGACACUGAACAUUGAGCCUUGAUGUGUAGGAUAGGUGGGAGGCUUUGAAGUGUGGACGCCAGUCUGCAUGGAGCCGACCUUGAAAUACCACCCUUUAAUGUUUGAUGUUCUAACGUGGGCCCCUUACCGGGGUUGCGGACAGUGUCUGGUGGGUAGUUUGACUGGGGCGGUCUCCUCCUAAAGAGUAACGGAGGAGCACGAAGGUUGGCUAAUCCUGGUCGGACAUCAGGAGGUUAGUGCAAUGGCAUAAGCCAGCUUGACUGCGAGCGUGACGGCGCGAGCAGGUGCGAAAGCAGGUCAUAGUGAUCCGGUGGUUCUGAAUGGAAGGGCCAUCGCUCAACGGAUAAAAGGUACUCCGGGGAUAACAGGCUGAUACCGCCCAAGAGUUCAUAUCGACGGCGGUGUUUGGCACCUCGAUGUCGGCUCAUCACAUCCUGGGGCUGAAGUAGGUCCCAAGGGUAUGGCUGUUCGCCAUUUAAAGUGGUACGCGAGCUGGGUUUAGAACGUCGUGAGACAGUUCGGUCCCUAUCUGCCGUGGGCGCUGGAGAACUGAGGGGGGCUGCUCCUAGUACGAGAGGACCGGAGUGGACGCAUCACUGGUGUUCGGGUUGUCAUGCCAAUGGCACUGCCCGGUAGCUAAAUGCGGAAGAGAUAAGUGCUGAAAGCAUCUAAGCACGAAACUUGCCCCGAGAUGAGUUCUCCCUGACUCCUUGAGAGUCCUGAAGGAACGUUGAAGACGACGACGUUGAUAGGCCGGGUGUGUAAGCGCAGCGAUGCGUUGAGCUAACCGGUACUAAUGAACCGUGAGGCUUAACCUUACAACGCCGAAG
rnacentral:rRNA from 1 species